rnacentral:misc_RNA from 1 species
AGCAGCCGCGGUAAUUCCAGCUCCAAUAGCGUAUAUUAAAGUUGUUGCAGUUAAAAAGCUCGUAGUUGAAUUUCGGGAUCAAAGAAUCGGUCAUGCCUUGGUAUGUACUGGUUUUAUUGGUUCUCACCUUCUAAAGAACCAUGAUGUCAUUCAUUUGAUGUUAUGGGGAAUUAGGACUGUUACCUUGAAAAAAUUAGAGUGUUUAAAGCAAGCUUACGCUUGAAUACAUUAGCAUGGAAUAAUGAAAUAGGACAUCAGAUUCUAUUUUGUUGGUUUCUAGGAUCGAUGUAAUGAUUAAUAGGGAUAGUUGGGGGCAUUAGUAUUCAAUUGUCAGAGGUGAAAUUCUUGGAUUUAUUGAAGACUAACUACUGCGAAAGCAUUUGCCAAGGAUGUUUUCAUUAAUCAAGAACGAAAGUUAGGGGAUCGAAGACGAUCAGAUACCGUCGUAGUCUUAACCAUAAACUAUGCCGACUAGGGAUCGGAUGAUGUUAAUUUUUUAAUGUACUCAUUCC